GGAACACAAAGGCAGAAAAACUUGCUGACGAUACAGUUUUUAAAAACGAGAAGUGAUGGCAGUUUAUAAGAAUGUGCUUGUGGUCUUCUGCGUGAUCGCCACCAUCAACCUGUGUUUGGCCAAACCAAAAUGGAUAUGGCAACGUGAUGAAGUCGCUGGUGACUUGGACGCGGAGAGAAGACCGUACCUGCAACAACGUGAUGUUGAAAUGGAUGGACCCAAGCCGUGUACUCAUCCAAACCGUUAUAUGUGCAAAAACAAACAGUGAGCCCCAUGUGAUUAUCCCGACAAACGCAUGUGCCGUUUCACAUGAACUAACAUUGACAUUAACUAAUAGUGUAAAGAAUCAAAUAUUCAUGUAUCCUAAAUACCACAUAAGCCUGUUCACUGUAUGAAAAUAUUAUAGUAUUAAUAAAAUUUAUUCAAGGG
rnacentral:lncRNA from 1 species